GGGAGUGAAAUAGAACCUGAAACCCUGCACUUACAAGCUGUGGAAGCACAUUUCUUGUGUGACCGCGUACUUUUUGUAGAACUGGCUAAGGAGUGACGUUAAGUAGCACGGUUAAGCACUUAAGGUGCGGAGGCGUAGCGAAAGCGAGUUUUAACUGAGCGUUCAGUUACUUGACGUAGACCCGAACACGGGCGACCUACCCAUGGGCAGGAUGAAGCGAAAGUAAAAUGUCGUGGAGGUCCGAACCCACGAGCGUUGAAAAGCUCGGGGAUGACUUGUGGGUAGCGGUGAAAUUCCAAUCGAGCCCGGAGAUAGCUGGUUCUCCCCGAAAUAGCUUUAGGGCUAGCCUCAAGGUGAGAGAUACGGAGGUAGAGCACUGAAUGUCCUAGGGGGUAUUGCACCUACCGAAGACUAUCAAACUCCGAAUGCCGUCAUCUUAUACUUGGGAGUCAGACUGUGGGUGAUAAGAUUCAUAG
rnacentral:rRNA from 1 species